UCAGCUGCAACCCUCUGCAGCGAUCCCGCAGCAGAGCCGAGCGGUGCGCCGGGAGCGGCGCGGUCCCAUCCCCGUGACGGCCGCACGUUCAGCUCAGUGCGCGGAUGCGGAGCGCACAGCGGAGACAGAGGUUCUGUUGCUAGACAACAGGGAGAGAUCACCCCUGGGGCUCCUGCACCCGCUCUGGCUCCCCAUCCCCCUGUAGUUGGUACAGAUCAACAGAAGCCUGGAAUACUGUGAGUAGAAGAAAGCUCUUCUCAUACUCAUGUAUCUUUCUGCAGAGAAAAUCCAUUUAAACCAGCACUAGGCCAUAACAGAAUUACCGUCCAUUUACUACACCAACACCAUGUGUUGAGGUGGGAGUGCACUGGACAUCACUUUACAACUCAAGUGUCUGAAGGGAUUGCAAGAGGCUUGUAGAUGUGCUGACAUGCAAAGCGUUGUUUCCCAUAGGAUGCUGAAACAUUCAGGUAUUCAACUAGUGCACAUUCCUCAUUACUUUAGAUCCUGCAGCAAUUCCUAUUCGAUGCCUUCAGGCACAGUAUGGCAGCACGACACAUCCCAUCAGAAAGCAGAGCAAUGCCACUGCUCAGCAGAUGUUUGACACGGAGUACCAUGCCAGCCAGCAGCACCACACCAUACCAGAAAUGAUUUUGACACAACACAGUGUCAGUGCCGCAGAGCAAAACUAGCGUGUUCCAAAAAUAGGGACAAAUUCACCUCUGGCACAAGUAGAAGUAACUGCAGUGACUUCAUUAGAUUUGCAUCUGCUUAUGUCAACAAUGAAUCUGGCCCGUAAUCUGGAAUUUACAUAGAAGAGCGGUAAGUGGCUGUGUUUUCAGAGAUCUUAUACAACGUUUUGCUCCAGCGCUCAGCAUCAUGAGGCGGUUGGGGUAAAGCCACCACCUCUCUCUGCAGUUUCCUUUCCACCCCACAAGAAGCAGCAUCAAGUUUCCAUUUUUAGCAGUGUAACAGUGCCCCAGAGUAUACAGUGUCACUUCUAGAGACAUGGGCAGUUCCGAAUUUGGAGAUUUCUCAAGGAGUAAGAACACUAAGUAAAUAAAUAAAUAAAAUAAUGGAAUAGAAGAAGGUCUCUGCUUUCUACUUCCAUACUGUUUCACAGUGUUCACUUUAAGCAUUAGGGACCCAGGAACUGAGGCAAACCAUAAAAUUUCAAUGAGGGACGGUGCAAUAAUAAAAUAAAGUUAUGAAAAAAGGAACUUGGCUGAAAUGUUGCAGUGUCAGAUCUGAUGAGAUAUGGAAGCUUUCCAAAAAGAAACUGUAAUGUACUGGUGCUCCCUUUCACCACCUGGGAGCAGAAAACACAGCAUAGUGGUGCAAAUGCAUGACACUGACAAAGGGAGAGAAGGGAGCAGACCAGGGUAUGGCUGAUAUGAGAUAUUCACAGCGGAGCAACACGCAUGGUCUUUGCUUUAAUCUGUCACUUUAAUAGGGAACAUUAGUUGAAAUACAAGCCAUUCAGUUGAGUGUAUUCAUCUUUGCUGUGUAUUCGAGUUGCUUAAACCCAUCAGGCUGCGUUACUAGAUGAACUUCAGCAGUGCUAAGGGCAACCCUAGAAAACAAAGACCAGAAAAUCCUGAUGGAAAACCAGGUGAGUACAGCAACCAGACACAGCUUGGUACAUCAGAUCUAUGGCCAAUAGCACUGAGGAAGCUCGGUUUGCCUGCUACAUUCUAUUUCUGGCAGAGAGGAACUGUGCUGGGACGUGGUGACCUGCUGCACAGGUGCAUUGAGAACCCAUUUGUUUGGCUGUUUCGAGCUGACCUUUUCCCGUUGGUGCUCACUGCUUCCACAGAUCAGGAAGUUCACACAGAUGCUCGAGCAAAUGCUGGAGAACUGUUGCAAGCAUUUCAAACCUUCUGAACAACAGCAACAAAAAAGCAAGGAUCCUCCCCUCCCUUUUCACCACGACACUGUCACUUCCAAAUAUUUCCUUGAGGAGAGAACUCUGUACGUUUUGCAGUUCUGCAGAGAUUAAAGCAAGCAAACAAACGCGUCCUCUCCCUCAUUUCCCCCCUGCCUCACUUCACCCUCUGCUGGCAUCCUGUAAGUAUUUAAACCAUUGCGAACCACACCCAGCUAGCUGUGGCUAGCAGCUACGAGCAGAGCCCCUUGGCUUUGAUACUGUGGUCCGCUCAACGGCCAAAAAUGCAGAGUGUUACAUUUUCCUAAAAGGAGAGACCAAAUCUGAAGAUAUGCACUGAAUUCCCAGGAAAUAAACACCAGGCAUUAUCCAUGCCUUAUAUGUAAAGGAAUGGAAAGGGGGAAAAAUAUGUUUGCUUGCAAGAAG